UGAUAGUUUCUCUAUAUAGCG
ensembl:piRNA 21ur-2860 ncRNA